rnacentral:rRNA from 1 species
GCAGUCGAACGAUGAAGCCCACUUGUGGGUGGAUUAGUGGCGAACGGGUGAGUAACACGUGAGUAACCUGCCCUUGACUCUGGGAUAAGCCUGGGAAACUGGGUCUAAUACCGGAUACGACCGACUAUCGCAUGGUGGUUGGUGGAAAGCUUUAUUGUGGUUUUGGAUGGACUCGCGGCCUAUCAGCUUGUUGGUGGGGUAAUGGCCUACCAAGGCGACGACGGGUAGCCGGCCUGAGAGGGUGACCGGCCACACUGGGACUGAGACACGGCCCAGACUCCUACGGGAGGCAGCAGUGGGGAAUAUUGCACAAUGGGCGCAAGCCUGAUGCAGCGACGCCGCGUGAGGGAUGACGGCCUUCGGGUUGUAAACCUCUUUCAGUAGGGAAGAAGCGAAAGUGACGGUACCUGCAGAAGAAGCGCCGGCUAACUACGUGCCAGCAGCCGCGGUAAUACGUAGGGCGCAAGCGUUAUCCGGAAUUAUUGGGCGUAAAGAGCUCGUAGGCGGUUUGUCGCGUCUGCCGUGAAAGUCCGGGGCUCAACUCCGGAUCUGCGGUGGGUACGGGCAGACUAGAGUGAUGUAGGGGAGACUGGAAUUCCUGGUGUAGCGGUGAAAUG